UUCAUUUAAGAGACUGUGACUCAAAGAAUGAAAAAAACACAAAAGCAUACAGUUUUAAAGGGACAGCAGGUAUGACACAUCUUCCUGUGCAUCAGGAAAGCAUCGAGAAGCCUGCAGUCAAACGCAACGUGGACGGGAAUGAAGCUUCGAAAGCAGGAGCUCCGGUCAGGCUUCUUCGGGAGCAGUUUCCUGGAGCAAGUGAGCAGGUGAGCCUGCUUAUUAAAUACUGAGCCUCCGAGGCCUCGCCUCUGAGCCAGCGUCAUUGAGCCUGCACUUUAAGAGCGUCCCAGGGAGCCUCAGGCACCCAGACUUGAAGACAGCAUGUCUUUGAGGGGUUCUCCAGGAUGAGCGGCUUGGUGGCUACAUGAGUGGACAGACGCGACACUCCAUCAAGUUCCUUCUUUGCUGCAGUGAACUAGAACCAUGUGUUCAAGAUGGUCAAGAUUCAAGAUAUGAGCAGCCUUGGACUCCAGAAUAUGUAUCUGGGAAGCAUGGAAUUCUGCAGGAAGACAUACUUGAGAAGGGGAUGGAAGUAGAGAACAGCUUCAAGAGGGUGGUGAAUCUUUGCCGUGUCUUGAAAGAGAAAGAUAUCCUUGCCCUCCGGUCGAAUCUCUGCUGGUCUCAGUGAGGGUCCCUAGUGGAAUGACUCAGAGACCCUUCUCUGAGAUCUUGGAGUCACUACUCACCAUGUCCUUCUGUGGCCAAAAUUAUGACAUGUAUAGUUACUGUCAGCAUUGGAGAAGGCUUUCCAAGGGUUACCCAAGUGGUUCACCAGGGUUCCACACACGUCCAACAAGCCCUACUUCCUGAUGAUUAGGUGACUCUACUACAAAAUGAUUUUCAUCUUGCUGCCUGGUCCUUGGACACAGAAGCCCAGGAGAGAGCCACUGUUUAUAGUUGAUUUGGACCCUGCUAUAUCCCGAGUAGAAAUAUUCUCCUGCUGGGAGCCAAGAUCUGGAUGCACAGAGCCCAGAGCUCCGUGCUGUAGUAAUAAAGAAACCUUUUAUUUCCGUGAGGAUGUCUUUCGAGCCCUUGAGAAUUUCACAGCCAAAUGAUGCCCAUGGUGGUGCAUGCCUGUAAUCCCAGUACUUGAGAGGCUGGACACGAGAAAUGCACAGAGUUCAAAGCCAGCCUGGAGACCCUGUCUAAAAAACAUUGAGGCCAAGGAGAACAGGAAUUGCUAGAAAAGAAAAUUUUUAAAAAGUGAAAAUGGUUGGUCAUGAGGAGGAAAAACAAAAGUGUAUGAUGUCUCUGAAUGUAAAAGAAAAAUUAUUUCAAGAAAUAGAGUUUUAUCAAUUAUUGUCAAUUGCUGCUCCAGGAAAGGAACAGUAAGUUGAGCACAUAGGAUAACUGCUGGAUGUAGGAGAAUUAGUGGCCUGGAAGAGUGUAUUCUCAGUGGAUUUAGCAGAUGAGAUGAAAUCCUUGGUUAAAGGGGGGCUAAAAUAGAAACAGGAAAUUUAAAAAAGUAAGAAGGGUAACUAUAUGAGUCAGUGCUCAUUAGAGAAAUAGAUUUAAUGCAAGAUAUGCAAAUACAUAAGAAUUUACAAGAUUGGUUUAGAGUGGCCCCGCAGAGUCAGAUGCGGAAGAGUGCAAGAGGACUGUCUGUGUGCUGGAGGUCGAAGGCCUGGAGCUCACUGUGGCGUCCUGUGUGAGUCCAUAUCAGGAUGCCAAAGGCUGUGCAGUGAAAUGCUGAAGAGUUUGCGCUGAAAGAAGCAGCAGCAAGCCUUCCUUAUUUCUCUUUUAUUCAGGUGGCAAGCCUGUUGGGUACUGUCAUGCAUACCCAGGGUGGGUCUAGUCUUUAGCAAAUCCCCUAAGCCACACCCAGGGUUUCUUACUUAAAUUGACACAAUCAGUUAACUAUCAUAAGUUAUCCCUUGUCAUCUUGACAACCAGACACAUUUCCUUAAACCAUAGUCUCCAGAUACAAAGGCAAGUUCAUAAUUACACCUAACAUGUUACAACUAUGCUGUGUACAAACGGAAACACACAUUCUCUCCCAGAGUAGAAGGCAAGUUUUCUCUGGGUAAUGUGUUUCAUAACUUGAAGAUUAUUAUAAUAUAGGUUUAACAAUACUUAAGAAACAAUAUUAAGUCAAUUAACAUAUUACAUAGGAAACAUUAGGAGAGAACUAUUACAACUAUAAUCCUUGUUUCUGUAGCUGAUCAUGGGGUCAUAGCUGGUAUUUAGUGCUACCUUCUACUACCCAUUCUGUAUUCCCUUGGCCCUCAGCAAGCACCUCAGCAGGUCUUGGUUCUUUCCAUGAUGGGGUGACCCAUAGCUUCUUUCCUGAAGAUUCUGGACCGUUUGUCAUCCUGCCUGGAUUCUUGUAGUUUCCCACUGACUUCAAUAAUAGGGCAUGGUAAGAGUGGAAGGUACCCUAAGGAUCUCCUGACUCCAAGUAUAUUCUCACUUUCCUCCACUGUGGAGGAAAAUUUCCCCUUGAUAGUCUGGUCAGUCAGCCCUGCCAACACUGUGACUCCCCUUUCAGCUUGUUUUCUCAGAGAAAUGAGGAGACCAGGGCGGUGUCUUAGCUUCUAGAUCUCCAUAUCAUUGUUGUGCUGAACAAACCUUCCUCCCUCUGGCACUAAGUCUUCUAAGCCAGCAGAGCAUGCGGUCAUGGAAACAGGAAGCAAACAUUUUGUUAAUGGAUCGCUGGGGUGAUGGUGAGUGGUAACAUUCCCACUUCCACCCCUUGAUUCCUGGACCUGUGCAUCCUGGCUAUGGGAAACACAGUACCACUAUUGUGGACACUGAUCCAAAGCAUACACAGCCGUUGGAAGAGACUUUCCUCAGCCCUGCAAGCCACUGCCACCUGGCUGGCGCUGUAACUGUGUUUUGCUGUAAAAGGGAGGGGAGGAAAAGAAAGUAGCUUGAUGGAAUAGGUACAGAAAAGCUGUUUUAUGAAGGGGCUUGUAGUAUGGCAAUGGAAAUGCCCCAUAGAGAGGGAAUGACUGAGGAGGUCAACUUAUUAUUAUUUUUUGGUCAUAGAUGCUCAACAAAGAAGUUCUCAGUAAUUGGUAGUUACUCUGAUUAUUUUAUUUUUGUACAACUUUGAGAAUCUGAUUAUGGUAAUUAUAAAAUCAACUGCCCACUUUAUAGAAUUUCAGGUUGUAGCAAAUUUUCAAAUAAUGUCGUCAGUGUCUUCAUAAUCUCAUGUGUCCAUGAAUGUUGCUAUGGAAAAUAAGAAAUAAAGUUUACUGUUUCUUAUGAUCAAGUGAGAAUAAAAUUACACAUCAUCAUUUUGGAGAAAGGGAGUCAGAUCCUAAGUCUGAAUAUAAAGUUAUUAUUCCCCUAAAAUAAUUUACCAUUAGUAUGAUAAGGGUUAUUAUUUGAGCAGAUGUUUGUCAAUAGUCAAUAUCAGAAUGUCCUAUGAAUAUGUAAGCCACAAUACCAAAGAAAUAAAAAUAUAAACAUAAUAAUACAGAGAACAAAAAUAAGAUCAAUGGAACUAUUGUACACAUUAAGCACACUGGAGUACAAUAUUCAAAUUAAAACUCUUCCUGUUUAAAAAUAACUAUGGUGACCAGGUAAAUAAGUUUGGAGAAUCAGACCUAUUAUGUCUAGGACAGAGACAAUGAGUGACAAAGUAUGAAGUAUAGUUUUUAUUAUCCUGAACGAAAGAGCACAAAGUGAACCAAAAGUUGAAAUUGUUCAAACAGUGUGUAUGUGAAGAAAAGCCAUAGCUAUAACCAAUCAGAACCUUCAUCCAAGGAAAAGAUUACAGAGAAUUUUUGUCAGAAAUGAGAUCCCCAUACCUUGAAGAUUUCAAGAUCAGUCUUCCAAAACCCCUAUAAAAUAUUAAACUAAUACCCUGGCAAUUUCAGCACAAAUCAAUAA